rnacentral:rRNA from 1 species
AUUGAACGCUGGCGGCAGGCCUAACACAUGCAAGUCGAGCGGAUGAAGGUAGCUUGCUUCUGGAUUCAGCGGCGGACGCGUGAGUAAUGCCUAGGAAUCUGCCUACUAGUGGGGGAUAACGUCCGGAAUCCGGCGCUAAUACCGCAUCCGUCCUGAGGGACAGAGCGGGGGGUCUUCGGACCCUACGCUAUCAGAUGAUCCUAGGUCGGAUUAGCUAGUCGGUGGGGUGUAGGCGUACCAAGGGGACGAUCCGUCACUCGUAUGGGGGGAUGAACAGUCACAUUGGAGCGGAGAAACGGUCAAAACGCCAACGGGAGGCAGCAGUGGGGAAUAUGGGACAAUGGGGGAAAGCCUGAUCCAGCAAUGCCGAGUGUGUGAAGAAGGUCUGCGGAUUGGAAAGCACUUUAAGUUGGGAGGAAGGGCAGUAAGUUAAUACCAUGCUGUUUGAAGGUUACCAACAGAAUAGCCACGGCCAACCUUGGU